rnacentral:rRNA from 1 species
GGGAUUCUUCCCAAUGGGAGGAAAUUUGGAGGAGCAACGCCGCGUGAGUGAUUAAGGUUUUUGGAUUGUAAAAAUUUGUUAUUAGGGAAGGACAAGUACCGUUCGAUUAUGGCGGUACCUUGACGGUACCUAACCAGAAAGCCACGGCUAACUACGUGCCAGCAGCCGCGGUAAUACGUAGGUGGCAAGCGUUGUCCGGAAUUAUUGGGCGUAAAGGGCGCGCAGGCGGCCUUUUAAGUAUGAUGUGAAAGCCCCCGGCUCAACCGGGGAGGGUCAUUGGAAACUGGGAAACUUGAGUGCAGAAGAGAAGAGUGGAAUUCCUUGUGUAGCGGUGAAAUGCGUAGAGAUGUGGAGGAACACCAGUGGCGAAGGCGACUCUCUGGUCUGUAUCUGACGCUGAGGAGCGAAAGCGUGGGUU